AUCGCUUCUCGGCCUUUUGGCUAAGAUCAAGUGUAGUAUCUGUUCUUAUCAGCUUAAUACACUAGCGAUUCACAGGCAACGGGGAGCAAUUAGUUGUUCCAGUUCAAUUUUUUUUUGAACAACCAGCCAUUUCUGCCAUCGGAGGUUGCGCGUUGGGAGGUCUUUUAGAGACACCCAACUUCUCCA